CACUGUGGCAAAUAUCAUUGGGCAGCAGAUUCUAAUCUCUCCCCAGGGUCCAGCCUACUUACGGUGUCGCGAUCACCGGCCUGCAGCAGCUUUACUGAUUCCAUUUGUCUGGGCAGACCCUCCACUGACCCUCAACCCUAACCAAGGAGGUAGCCUGAAUGCGGCCCCGGCGACAGGAAGAGAGAAGGGUGAUAAGAUUAUUCAUCACCCAUCUUUGAGUUGUGCACCGCGUCCGCGCUGCUGCGGGCCGUCACACAGUGAGCACUCCUCUCUGGCCAGCUCUGUAUCUCCCUGCUGGCCGGGCCCACCACUGCAACAUGCUGCAAGAAGAGGGAGGGAGGAGGGAGAGCCUCGAUCCUCAGGAGCAGCCGGUCACUGUGGAUUGCGGAUGGAGCCAUCAGCAGCUGCACAGAAGGGCAUUGCCAGCCAGGAGGGCCAAUGCCCUCCCGGGUCAUCCAAACACUCCUGACGAAGUAUCCAAGAAACGCGUUGGGGCGGAGCCUGCCAGACGUGUGUGCUUCUUUUCACUCGGCCUUCUUCUCCCUGUGUCCGUUGCGAGUGGCCAGACGGGUCCGGAGUAUCGGCGCGGUGCAUGGUCCUGGCGUCUGUACACAGAGGUGGAGGUUUGCCUGGUGGAUGGUUUUAUGCUUUUUAACUGGCCCAAAGUGUGGGUCUUAUUUGGUACGGGAACACACUUACCUUUUACUUGCCUGUGUCUAAUGAUGCAUUCAUAAAAUAAAAAAUGAUCUUCACUGUG